AGGUACUAUCCGUAGAUCCCGAAGCGUGAGUGCUUUUUCCAGAUCUACCACAGCGGAUGUUUCGGCAGAUUUUUCGAAUAGUAGAGAUAAUCCGCUCUUCUGGAGCAAUGGUUCGCCUCCAUCAGAAGAAGCCCGUACUGUUAACCUUGAAUCUGAUGGAAGUUCCUCCAGAAUUAGUGCAGGAAGUUCGAAACGUGUGAGUUCUGGUGGUGUUGAGAAUACGAGGGGACGA
rnacentral:misc_RNA from 1 species